rnacentral:rRNA from 1 species
UACGGGGGGGGCAAGCGUUGUUCGGAAUUACUGGGCGUAAAGGGCUCGUAGGCGGCCAACUAAGUCCGACGUGAAAUCCCCAGGCUUAACCUGGGAACUGCGUCGGAUACUGGUUGGCUUGAAUCCGGAAGAGGCAAGUGGAAUUCCCGGUGUAGCGGUGAAAUGCGCAGAUAUCGGGAGGAACACCAAUGGCGAAGGCAGCUUGCUGGGACGGUACUGACGCUGAGGCGCGAAAGCGUGGGGAGCAAACAGG